rnacentral:rRNA from 1 species
ACCAGUACCGUGAGGGAAAGGCGAAAAGAACCCCGGCGAGGGGAGUGAAAUAGAACCUGAAACCAGAUGCGUACAAGCAGUCGGAGCCCUUCGGGGUGACGGCGUACCUUUUGUAUAAUGGGUCAGCGACUUACUUCUCAGUAGCAAGGUUAACCAUUAGGGGAGCCGUAGGGAAACCGAGUCUUAAAUGGGCGUUUAGUUGCUGGGAGUAGACCCGAAACCGGGUGAUCUAUCCAUGGCCAGGGUGAAGGUUAGGUAA